rnacentral:rRNA from 1 species
UACGUAGGGGGCGAGCGUUGUCCGGAGUGACUGGGCGUAAAGCGCGCGCAGGCGGUUCCGCGCGUCGGGCGUGAAAUUCCCCGGCUCAACUGGGGCGGGUCGCUCGAGACGGCGGGACUGGAGGCCGACAGAGGGGGGUGGAAGGCCGGGUGGAGCAGUGAAAUGCGUAGAGAUCCGGCGGAACACCAGAGGCGAAGGCGGCCCCCUGGGGCGGACCUGACGCUGAGGCGCGAUGGCUAGGGGAGCGAACGGG